GACGAACGCUGGCGGCGUGCUUAACACAUGCAAGUCGAACGGAAAGGCCCUGCUUUUGUGGGGUGCUCGAGUGGCGAACGGGUGAGUAACACGUGAGUAACCUGCCCUUGACUUUGGGAUAACUUCAGAAAACUGGGGCUAAUACCGGAUAGGAGCUCCUGCUGCAUGGUGGGGGUUGGAAAGUUUCGGCGGUUGGGGAUGGACUCGCGGCUUAUCAGCUUGUUGGUGGGGUAGUGGCUUACCAAGGCUUUGACGGGUAGCCGGCCUGAGAGGGUGACCGGCCACAUUGGGACUGAGAUACGGCCCAGACUCCUACGGGAGGCAGCAGUGGGGAAUAUUGCACAAUGGGCGGAAGCCUGAUGCAGCAACGCCGCGUGCGGGAUGGCGGCCUUCGGGUUGUAAACCGCUUUCGCCUGUGACGAAGCGUGAGUGACGGUAAUGGGUAAAGAAGCACCGGCUAACUACGUG
rnacentral:rRNA from 1 species